rnacentral:rRNA from 1 species
GACGAACGCUGGCGGCGUGCCUAAUACAUGCAAGUCGAACGCAGUGGGGACGGGUGAGUAACACGUGGGUAACCUCCCAUCAGAGGGGAUAACACUUGGAAACAGGUGCUAAACCGAUACUGAUGGAUGAACCCGCGGUGCAUUAGCAAGUUGGUGAGGUAACGGCUCACCAAGGCCACGAUGCAUAGCCGACCUGGGAGGGUGAGCGGCCACACGGGGACGGAGACACGGCCCAGAUGCCUACGGGAGGCAGCAGUAGGGAAUCGUGGGCAAUGGACGAAAGUCGGACCGAGCAACGCCGCGUGAGUGAAGAAGGUUUUCGGAUCGUAAAACUCUGUUGUUAGAGAGGCGGUAUCUAACCAGAAAGCCACGGCUAACUACGUGCCAGCCGCCGCGGGAAUUC